rfam:Chlorocebus sabaeus isolate 1994-021 chromosome 14, whole genome shotgun sequence.
GUUUGGCAUGGUGGCGCAUACCUGUAGUCCCAACUACUCAGGAGCCUGAGGCGGGAGGAUUGCUUGAGUCUAGAAUUUCUGGACUGAAGUGUGCCAUGCCGAUUGGGUAUUCACAUUAAGUUCAGUAUCAAUAUGGUGACCCCCCAGGAAUGGGAGACCACCGGGUUGCCUAAGGAGGGGUGAACUGGCCCAGGUCAGAAAAGGAGCAGGUUAAAACUCCUGUGCUGAUCAGUAGUGGGAUUGCUCCUGUGAAUAGCCACUGCCUUCCAGCCUGGGCAACAGUGUGACCUUGCCUCUU